rnacentral:rRNA from 1 species
CUCAGGAUGAACGCUAGCGACAGGCUAACACAUGCAAGUCGAGGGGCAGCAUAAAAGUAGCAAUACUUGGUGGCGACCGGCGCACGGGUGAGUAACGCGUAUGCAACCUACCUAUCAGAGGGGAAUAACCCGGCGAAAGUCGGACUAAUACCGCAUAAAACAGGGGCACCGCAUGGUGAUAUUUGUUAAAGAAAUUCGCUGAUAGAUGGGCAUGCGUUCCAUUAGGGUAGUUGGUGAGGUAACGGCUCACCAAGCCGACGAUGGAUAGGGGAACUGAGAGGUUGGUCCCCCACACUGGUACUGAGACACGGACCAGACUCCUACGGGAGGCAGCAGUGAGGAAUAUUGGUCAAUGGGCGGGAGCCUGAACCAGCCAAGUCGCGUGAAAGGAAGAAGGAUCUAUGGUUCGUAAACUUCUUUUGCAGGGGAAUAAAGUGCAGGACGUGUCCUGUUUUGUAUGUACCCUGAGAAUAAGGAUCGGCUAACUCCGUGCCAGCCGCAGC